GCCGCGGUGGCGAAAUGGCAGACGCGCACGGUUCAGGGCCGUGUGGGGUAACCCGUGAGAGUUCGACUCUCUCCCGCGGCA
rnacentral:tRNA from 1 species